GCUGCCUCCCACCAGCCGCCUUUGUUGGCUGCGGAGCAUCCUGGCGGCAUCGCCAUUGCUCGGAAGGGCAGGACGAGAGCCUUUCUUCUCUCUCUUACCGCUGUGCAGCACCAUUUCCAGAAUGUAAACCUUGGCAUGCGGAUCGCUUUAUUGGAUCACAUUAAUGGCUUUAAACGCAUAACACCCGCCUCACAUUUAUACUCUGAGCAUAUAGCACAGUAUAUAUUCUGGCUGAAAUAAUGCCGGUUUAUGAACAUCUCUUACGAGCCUCUCGGCGAGGCACCGAGUCCCAAAGGCCUUCUGCUCGAGCACAGCUCCUGCUGGCAGGCUGCCCCUGAAGCUGUGCCCGCAGGUAUCGUCGGGCAGGGAAUUAUCCAUCGGGCUGGCCCAUGCCCUGGCGGCCCCACCCCAGCCCACGGGACUUCCCCACGUACAAAUUCUGACUUGUCCAAUGAACCAAAACAGCAGCAAACUGCUCUGUGGCAAACUGUGGCAAUCAGUGAGUCUGACAAGUUUAUAGAAUGUGAAUUUAAUAAAUCGAUUUGGGGAUUUAUAUAAAAAACCCAAAUGGAUUUGUGUUCUGCACUAGUUUUAACAUUCAAGAAGGGCCAUGAAAUUCAGCUUGCACAAGCUCAUCCUGCAAGGGACUUGCAGAAUUAAGCCAUAAUAUUUAUAGAACCCUAUUUCUUCCCAAUUAACCAGGAAACUGAUUUGAUUAAAGUGAAAACCAAAUUCUGUUUACUUACAUUGCAUUUCUGUGGUUGGCUUGCAUAACAGCAUAAAGAAGAUGGCAGCUGUUACUACCACUCUGGUAUUAAUAUCAGAACUGUUAAUCGAUUUCACAGUUUAUACAUGGCACAAAGGUCCUUGUGCAUGCUGCCUUUCACACAGAUUUAUUUGUUUUCCUCCCAGCAAGGUGUCCUUGACAUGGCAGAAAAAGUCCGUCACCCUCAGUAUUUGAUUUUAAAAAUAAAAUAAGGGAAUUUUAAGUAUGAUUUACAAGCAGUGCCAGGCUGAUGGCUCUUCUCCAGUGGCUUUUUAAUUCAAGCACACAAAGUAACAGGCAAUUGCAUAGUGAGUGUUCCUACAAGCAUCACUUCUGUGCUGGGAGGCUUUGGGGGUUUUUUAGCAGGUUGACCUUACAUCUUAGCUCUGAGGUCUUAGACCAGAGGUCCACCAGACACUGUGCCACAUAAUCCUGGGAAGCUGUGGUGGAAGACAUUCCGUUUGUUUAGGUUAUCCCGUUUUCUCCCUUGGCUUUGCAGUGCCCGGGAUCAAAGCCCCUGACCCCGCUGUCCUCGCGAGCAGCGUCUGUCCUGACCAGUGAGACCAUCACCAGGGAUCCUUCCACCUGGACUGCAGCUCUGAGAUGGGACCUCUGCUCCCCUGCCCUGACGGAGCCGUGCAGUCCCAACUCCCACACCACGUAUUGCAUUCUCCAGGAAGCAGAUGCCUGUGCUGUGGCACCAGUACCUGCAGCACUGACCGUGCUGAGCUCAGGAUCAGAAAUACAUCCCUGCAUACCGGGAAAACAAGCUACCUGAGUGUUUCCAGUGUAAAACCCUGAGCUGCAGCGAAAGCACAGGCCCAGCACUGACCUGCAU